rnacentral:rRNA from 1 species
GCAUAUCAAUAAGCGGAGGAAAAGAAACUAACAAGGAUUCCCCUAGUAACUGCGAGUGAAGCGGGAAAAGCUCAAAUUUAAAAUCUGGCGGUCUUUGGCCGUCCGAGUUGUAGUCUGGAGAAGUGCUUUCCGCGCUGGACCGUGUAUAAGUCUCUUGGAACAGAGCGUCAUAGAGGGUGAGAAUCCCGUCUUUGACACGGACUACCAGUGCUUUGUGAUGCGCUCUCAAAGAGUCGAGUUGUUUGGGAAUGCAGCUCAAAAUGGGUGGUGAAUUCCAUCUAAAGCUAAAUAUUGGCGAGAGACCGAUAGCGAACAAGUACCGUGAGGGAAAGAUGAAAAGCACUUUGGAAAGAGAGUUAAACAGUACGUGAAAUUGCUGAAAGGGAAACGCUUGAAGUCAGUCGCGUUGUCCGGAACUCAGCCUUGCUUUUGCUUGGUGCACUUUCCGGAUGACGGGUCAGCAUCGAUUUUGACCGUCGGAAAAGGGCUGGAGUAAUGUGGCACCUCCGGGUGUGUUAUAGACUCUGGUCGCAUACGACGGUUGGGAUCGAGGAACGCAGCGCGCCGCAAGGCAGGGGUUCGCCCACUUUCGCGCUUAGGAUGCUGGCAUAAUGGCUUUAAACGACCCGUCUUGAAACACGGACC